UCGGACCGCAGCUGCCGUGUAAUUUUAAGAAACAAACAACCGAUACGUUCCGACCUCAGAUCAGGCGGACUACCGCGAUUAAGCAUAUUAAUAAGCGGAGGAAAACAAAACAACCCGUGAUCCCUUAGUAGCGCGACGAACCGGGAAAAGCCCAUCGCCGAAUCUCGCGCGCACUUUUGUGUCCGCCGUAUGAGAGUUGUGGCGUACGGGCCGGCCUCGUUGCCGGGCGCACGUGACGGUCCAAGUCUCCCUUGAACGGGCCAUGGCCCGCAGAUGGUGCCAGGCCAGUAGAGGCCGUCACAGCGUUCCGGGAUCGGACCGCGCCUUCGAGUCGGGUUGCUUGAGAGUGCAGCCCGAAGCGGGUGGUAAACUCCAUCUAACCGUAAAUACGGCCACGAGACCGAUAGUUUACAAGUACCGUGAGGGAAAGUUGAAAACAAUUUGAAGAGAGAGUUCAUAAGAACGUGAAACCGCUCGGUUGUAAACGGACAGAGCUCGCGAAUCCCCGCCGGGCG
rnacentral:rRNA from 1 species